rnacentral:rRNA from 1 species
UACGUAGGGUGCGAGCGUUGUCCGGAUUUAUUGGGCGUAAAGGGCUCGUAGGCGGUUUGUCGCGUCGGGAGUGAAAACACCGGGCUUAACUCGGUGCUUGCUUUCGAUACGGGCAGACUAGAGGUAUGCAGGGGAGAACGGAAUUCCUGGUGUAGCGGUGAAAUGCGCAGAUAUCAGGAGGAACACCGGUGGCGAGGGCGGUUCUCUGGGCAUUACCUGACGCUGAGGAGCGAAAGUGUGGGGAGCGAACAGG